rnacentral:rRNA from 1 species
AAUGAACGCUGGCGGCAGGCUUAACACAUGCAAGUCGAGCGAGCGGCGGACGGGUGAGUAAUGUCUGGGAAACUGCCUGAUGGAGGGGGAUAACUACUGGAAACGGUAGCGAUUACCGCAUACCAUCAGAUGUGCCCAGAUGGUAUUAGCUAGUAGGUGGGGGAAUGGCUAACCUAGGCGACGAUCCCUAGCUGGUCUGAGAGGAUGACCCGCCAACCUGGAACGUGGACACGGUCCAGACUCCUACGGGAGGCAGCAGUGGGGAAUAUUGCACAAUGGGCGCAAGCCUGAUGCAGCCAUGCCGCGUGUGUGAAUAAGGCCUUCGGGUUGUAAAGUACUUUCAGCGGGGAGGCGUUACCCGCAGAAGAAGCCCCGGCUAACUCCGUGCCAGCAGCCGCGGUAAUUC